rnacentral:rRNA from 1 species
AUUGAACGCUGGCGGCAGGCCUAACACAUGCAAGUCGAACGGCAGCACAGAAGAGCUUGCUCUUUGGGUGGCGAGUGGCGGACGGGUGAGUAAUGUCUGGGAAACUGCCCGAUGGAGGGGGAUAACUACUGGAAACGGUAGCUAAUACCGCAUAACGUCGCAAGACCAAAGUGGGGGACCUUCGGGCCUCACACCAUCGGAUGUGCCCAGAUGGGAUUAGCUAGUAGGUGGGGUAAUGGCUCACCUAGGCGACGAUCCCUAGCUGGUCUGAGAGGAUGACCAGCCUCACUGGAACUGAGACACGGUCCAGACUCCUACGGGAGGCAGCAGUGGGGAAUAUUGCACAAUGGGCGCAAGCCUGAUGCAGCCAUGCCGCGUGUAUGAAGAAGGCCUUCGGGUUGUAAAGUACUUUCAGCGGGGAGGAAGGCGGUGAGGUUAAUAACCUCGCCGAUUGACGUUACCCGCAGAAGAAGCACCGGCUAACUCCGUGCCAGCAGCCGCCGUAACAC